CACCAUCUACAGAUAGCUAUUUCUGCAUCUUAUACUUCAUCAGUGUAGCUAUGCAGUCACAAAUCUGAACCAAAAAUCAACAAGCCUGGCUUUUAAGAAAAAUCACCGCGAUGCAGUAAUUCCACCUUUAACACGCAAAACAGCGACAUCUCUAGUAAAACAAGGAAGACGACGAAAAUACCCAUAUGCAAAGUUUACUGUAAUAAAACAAUAAUUAAAAUAAUUGAAAUAAAACAAUAAACAAUAUUUUAAAUCGGGAGUACGGUCCUGACAGUGGUAAUAUAUAUCACGUUGUAAACCGCUGCGAAAUUUAUCAGUUUUUAAAUAAUAAAAACACAGUUUAAAAUUAUUUUGUUAGUUCCUCCACAUAGUUAUAGUGGAAACCCCAUAUAAACCUUGCAAACCUGACAUUUCUUCUGAUAGAAGAUGUUUAAUUAAUCGAUAUGGAAAGACACCUUCUCACCUUAAAAAGUAAGAAAAAACUCUUGAAGGGCCCAAUCCAAAAUACCAUUGACAAUGGCGAAGUGCUUAGGGACUCAAAAAACCAAGCAGCAACUUAAAAAAAUUCAUAUUAGUAAUGGUAGCAAAAACUGGAACUAUAAAAAUGUUAUGGUAUCAGAUGUUUAAGCUUUAGUGUCAUAGCUAACUAGGUAGAAUAUUGUAUGUUUUUAUUAUUAUUUUAUGCACCAACAAUCGUAACUACGUAGGUAUUUUGAUAACUCAUCCAAUAUUAAUAAAUUAAGGAUCAGUCUAGAUUAAUAUACACUUUUUUUUGAAAAAUUUGUUUUUGAUUAAAUAUUUUUACAGCCACGAAUUGCCACGUUUGGCUUAAAGAUCACGAGUAACUCACAAAUUAAAAUUAGCCCCACUCUACGGGGCAAUGUAAACUUUUGACGUUUAGUCAGGGAUCAUUUUUUGCUGCCAAUACGUUAAAUAAAUUCAGUUUCAUUGCAACUAAAUGACAGUUAAAUAUUUAUUGAACGUUCCUAAUUAUUUAAACAAAAAAAAUGCCCCAUCCUCCUUUUGAGUUUUUUACAAGUUCAUCAACUAUAUAAUGCAUUGGAAGCUUAUUUAGUUUUACAAUUUGUAGCAAUUUAAUUUUACAAACUUUUCUGGAAAUCUAAUGUUUCUUCUGUUAGCCACUUAAUUAUGAUAUCAUGUUUAAUGGUAAUGUCAUGUAUUUUAUACUUGCCUUGUAUGUCCAGAAAACCAAAUAAUUGCAUUUA
rnacentral:lncRNA from 1 species